rnacentral:rRNA from 1 species
AAAGGUGGCUAUGCUACCGCUUUUGGAUGGGCCCGCGGCGCAUUAGCUAGUUGGUGGGGUAAAGGCUUACCAAGGCAAUGAUGCGUAGCCGAACUGAGAGGUUGAUCGGCCACAUUGGGACUGAGACACGGCCCAAACUCCUACGGGAGGCAGCAGUAGGGAAUCUUCCACAAUGGGCGAAAGCCUGAUGGAGCAACGCCGCGUGGGUGAAGAAGGUCUUCGGAUCGUAAAACCCUGUUGUUAGAGAAGAAAGUGCGUGAGAGUAACUGUUCACGUUUCGACGGUAUCUAACCAGAAAGCCACGGCUAACUACGUGCCAGCAGCCGCGGUAAUACGUAGGUGGCAAGCGUUAUCCGGAUUUAUUGGGCGUAAAGGGAACGCAGGCGGUCUUUUAAGUCUGAUGUGAAAGCCUUCGGCUUAACCGGAGUAGUGCAUUGGAAACUGGGAGACUUGAGUGCAGAAGAGGAGAGUGGAACUCCAUGUGUAGCGGUGAAAUGCGUAGAUAUAUGGAAGAACACCAGUGGCGAAAGCGGCUCUCUGGUCUGUAACUGACGCUGAGGUUCGAAAGCGUGGGUAGCAAACAGGAUUAGAUACCCUGGUAGUCCACGCCGUAAACGAUGAAUGCUAAGUGUUGGAGAGUUUCCGCCCUUCA